rnacentral:rRNA from 1 species
CGGGGGGAGCAAGCGUUGUUCGGAUUUACUGGGCGUAAAGGGCGCGUAGGCGGCCUCCGCAAGUCAGUUGUGAAAUCUCCGAGCUUAACUCGGAAAGGUCAACUGAUACUGCGGGGCUAGAGUGCGGAAGGGGCAACUGGAAUUCUUGGUGUAGCGGUGAAAUGCGUAGAUAUCAAGAGGAACACCUGCGGCGAAGGCGGGUUGCUGGGCCGACACUGACGCUGAGGCGCGAAAGCUAGGGGAGCGAACGGGAUUAGAUACCCCGGUAGUCCUAGCCUUAAACGAUGAAUGCUUGGUGUCUGGGGUUAUAUAGUCCCCGGGUGCCGUCGCUAACGCUUUAAGCAUUCCGCCUGGGGAGUACGGUCGCAAGACUG